AGUGAACGCUGGCGGUAGGCCUAACACAUGCAAGUCGAACGGCAGCACAGUAAGAGCUUGCUCUUACGGGUGGCGAGUGGCGGACGGGUGAGGAAUACAUCGGAAUCUACUUUUUCGUGGGGGAUAACGUAGGGAAACUUACGCUAAUACCGCAUACGACCUACGGGUGAAAGCAGGGGAUCUUCGGACCUUGCGCGAUUGAAUGAGCCGAUGUCGGAUUAGCUAGUUGGCGGGGUAAAGGCCCACCAAGGCGACGAUCCGUAGCUGGCCUGAGAGGAUGAUCAGCCACACUGGAACUGAGACACGGUCCAGACUCCUACGGGAGGCAGCGGUGGGGAAUAUUGGACAAUGGGCGCAAGCCUGAUCCAGCCAUACCGCGUGGGUGAAGAAGGCCUUCGGGUUGUAAAGCCCUUUUGUUGGGAAAGAAAAGCAGCAGGUUAAUACCCCGCUGUUCUGACGGUACCCAAAGAAUAAGCACCGGCUAACUUCGU
rnacentral:rRNA from 1 species